GAUGAGAACGCAGCGAAAUGCGAUAAGUAGUGUGAAUUGCAGAAUUCAGUGAAUCAUCGAAUCUUUGAACGCACAUUGCGCCCCUUGGUAUUCCAUGGGGCAUGCCUGUUCGAGCGUCAUUUGUACCUUCAAGCUCUGCUUGGUGUUGGGUGUUUGUCUCGCCUCUGCGUGUAGACUCGCCUUAAAACAAUUGGCAGCCGGCGUAUUGAUUUCGGAGCGCAGUACAUCUCGCGCUUUGCACUCAUAACGACGACGUCCAAAAGUACAUUUUUACACUCUUGACCUCGGUUCAGGUAGGGAUACCCGCUGAACUUAAGCAUAUCAAUAAGCGGAGGA
rnacentral:misc_RNA from 1 species